GCUCUCAUAGUUCAAUGGAUAGAACAAAUCUCUCCUAAAGAUUAGAUCCCAGUUCGAUUCUGGGUGGGAGUACCA
rnacentral:tRNA from 1 species